CACAAAUGCUGACCCAGGUGUUCCGCGUGCUGGCAAACUGCAGGCACCUGGAGCUGCUCUGGAGCAAGGGGCUGCUCUCAGAUCUCUUUUUGCCUCUGUCACUGCUGGGGAAUCGCAGCUCCGGACUGACCUGAGUCGGUGUAAGUGAACAACUGCAUUGCACUGGGUGUUGGUGAUUGACAACUCAUGGUCCCAGACUAUGGAAGAGAACCAGUGCUCGCUGCUCACCCCAAUGCUUGUAGGAGCUUUAAGAGUGAACUGCUGUAGGACUCGUUUCCCGGUGUGUCUCAAGCUGCCUAAUGUGACCCAAGCAGGGGCUUCCCUGGGGUUUUUAAUGUAAAAAUGGGACUGGGUGGUGUUGGUGUUGUGGGGGCCAUUUUUGGGUUGAUUUUUUUGUGUUCGAGAUGAAAGGCUUGCAUGUGUGUUGCCACAGAGUGGCACGCACGCAUGGCUGCAUGCUCCUGUCCCUCUUGUCCAGUAACACCCCAAAAUACCUGGGAUCAAAGCAUCUUCCUUCUUGGAAAAAAUUCUUUGCUUCACAUCAUGGCUGGGCACAGAGAAGAGCUCCCAGGGUGACUGUAGUGGAAAGGCUGGUGGGAGCCAUGGUCUGGCGUUAUGGUGCUGCAUAUGCGUGAUUUUGGGAGAUCGUCCCGAUCCCCACCUCGAGAGUUGGUGGGGAUGGGGGACAGGCUGUGGCAGAGUGAAAAGCCUUGUCAAAGCUCAUGUAGUGAUUUCUGAGUGUUAAAGACUGGAGGGAAAAAAAAAGGCAUUGAAUGUUUUUAGGUUCCUUUUUUUUUAGGUGGCACCUGAGAAAUGCUCUGAGGUUUGCGCUGCAGAGCAGGGCUGAACUUUGAACGUGGCGUUUUCUGCCACAUAUGACACAAGGAUGGGUGAGCGAUGCGCAGGGCUGCAGGAAGGGAAACCAGGAACGGCAAGGACCAGGGAAGACCUUGGCUCUGCCCCCUUGUGUCUGUGCAUGAUGAUAAAAUCUUUUUAAUUAAAUGAUCGCACUGAGUGCACAGGGUGAACGGUGCUCGCUUAAUGAGCAGUUGCUCAGUUUGGCUUUUUCUCUCUGUUCAAUGGACAGUGCUGGGUCUUAUUAACUGCGCACUGUUCAAGCCCUGACCAAAGACAUUAAUAAUUUCCCUGCUGGAUUUAUUUGGUGCAGCUCGCUGUAGUAUUAGAGUGCUUUUCAAACACGAAUGGAUUAAUAUAUAAGCCAUGAGUGCUGUUAUCUGUAUUUAAUGAUGGGGAACCAACAAAAAGAGAGAUGGAAGCUAAUAAUUGAGUGCUGGUCUGAGACGCUCCAUAGCCAACCAUUUCUAAGCACUCCUCUUCAUCUAGCCAAAAACACAUGCAGAGCCUAAACCAGCCUUAGCCCUGCUUCUGCUCCACCUGUAUCCACUUACCCCAACCCACAUGCUGCAUGGUGCUGUCCCUGCGUCCCCACAGCUUGGGUCCCCAUGACACUAUGGGUGCAGAUGUGAGGCUGCGUGACUUCUGGCUGCCAAUCUUCCUGGAGCAGAGGCUUGGCCACGCUGACAGGGGAUAGGGCUCCAAAACUCUGUUUGUCCUGUGCCUAUGAGUUAGAGCUAC